rnacentral:tRNA from 1 species
GGGGUUGUGGCUCAGUGGUAGAGCAUUUGCUUAGCACAUCUAAGACCCUGAGUUUGAUCCUCAGCACCACA